UGGGGAAUCUUGGACAAUGGGCGCAAGCCUGAUCCAGCCAUGCCGCGUGGAUGAUGAAGGCCCUAGGGUUGUAAAAUCCUUUCGUUGGGGACGAUAAUGACGGUACCCAAAGAAGAAGCUCCGGCUAACUUCGUGCCAGCAGCCGCGGUAAUACGAAGGGGGCUAGCGUUGUUCGGAUUUACUGGGCGUAAAGCGCGUGUAGGCGGGUCGUUAAGUUGGGGGUGAAAUCCCGAGGCUCAACCUCGGAACUGCCUCCAAAACUACAAGUCUGGACCUAAGUAGAGGCAAGUGGAAUUGCGAGUGUAGAGGUGAAAUUCGUAGAUAUUCGCAGGAACACCAGUGGCGAAGGCGACUUGCUGGACUUAUGGUGACGCUGAGACGCGAAAGCGUGGGGAGCAAACAGGAUUAGAUACCCCCGUAGUCCCUGAGCGGGCUGGCAAGGCGCAU
rnacentral:rRNA from 1 species